rnacentral:rRNA from 1 species
UACGUAGGGGGCAAGCGUUGUCCGGAAUCAUUGGGCGUAAAGAGCGUGUAGGCGGCUCGGUAAGUCGGGUGUGAAAUCUCGGAGCUUAACUCCGAAACUGCAUUCGAUACUGCCGUGCUUGAGGACUGGAGAGGAGACUGGAAUUUACGGUGUAGCGGUGAAAUGCGUAGAUAUCGUAAGGAAGACCAGUGGCGAAGGCGGGUCUCUGGACAGUUCCUGACGCUGAGGCACGAAGGUCAGGGGAGCAAACGGG